rnacentral:lncRNA from 1 species
CAAAAAUCUGAGAGCUUUCCUGAAGGAAGAAGAGAAUAGUGCAUAUUGAGAAAUACUUAGCAGUCUCUGCUCUGAUGUCUCAGAUCCUGGAGCUGGAGGAAGGGAUGAGGAUGGGCAGGAGGGGAGAAGGAAGAUGUGGACCAUGAAGGCAGCUGCACAAGCUGUGGGAGAGUCUAGUCACUUGGCUGCUUUCUGCCACCUCUGCCCCAACUCCUGCUUCUGGUGACAACACUGCCUGGGACACCAAGAGUGAGCCCUAAUGUGAACGACGGACUUUGGUGAUGGACGACGUGAAAGUGUAGAUCCAUUGAUUGUAAAUGCACCAUCUGGUGGGGGUGUGGACGUUUAACUUUACUGAGCCCUGUGCUCCUGCCAAACUGCGACAGUUAAGAACUACCCCCAACUUUUGUCUUCCAAGAAAUGGCUCACUGGAAAGAACCAUACUUCCCUGUACGACUAAGAGAAGACUUGCCCACACCCCCCGGUCCACCCGUGACGAGGCAAGAUGCAGAGCCUCCGCCACCCACUCUUGCCUCGCAAGCGAUCGGCUGAGCUGUUGUCCCACUGACCAGUCUGGACAAGAGGCCAGCUCACUUGACGCAACCAGAAGUCAAAACACUUUCAGAGGAUGCUUCACAGAAGGCUCAACUCAGAACACCUGACAGACGACGCCCUAAACAAAGACAUUCCAUCAUCUCACCAAGAACGGAAGUCAGGAGGAGGAAAUCGUAUCCAGAAGCCCCUUAGGAGAUCUCCCCUGACAUCUCAUCGACCGGAGCUGGGUUACAUGGUUACUCCGAGACCUGAGAGAAGCCGGGAGGCAGGUGGACCAGGACAGACGCCCACCUGAGCAGGGAGCAAACAGACGUCUGACGCUCUGGAACCCACCUCGUCAGCUCUGGAAGCUCCCAGCAUGG